AGAAGCCAGUUUGUCCCCAGUGGGGUUUUGGAGUUGGAGCCCUCCACCCCUCGGCCCUUCAGUUCACCCGUUUGCAGGAAAAUGGUUUUAUUCUGGGACUGGGAGCUGGAGUCUGGUCAGGAGGAGCUUGGAGGCUGGGGCAGACUGACACCGGGAGCGGAAUUUGAGAAGAGCCACCUCCCGACUGUGUCUGCAAGGCCUUGAACCUGCUGAUCUUGCCUCUCGGUUCAAUGAGUAGCCUGAGGCUUGACAAAAAUAAGCAAGUAUCUGGUGAGAGCAGCCGGAGUCAGAAGCCAGGAUUGACCAGUGCUAACGGAAAUGGAAUUCUCGCUGCACACAGUGCUGGACCCGCCACUGCAGCUGGCGGAGAUACGACGCCCGGUGACCUGCACGUGCUUGCCGCUGGUCCGGCUGUAGAGCUGGUACUCACGGAUCUGCCGCCUGCUCAGCUGGCUGUAGGUGACUUGAAGGUGAGGACUUUGUCUGGUCCACCCUGUGUCACUGUGGCAGGAAGUCAUGGGAAAUGCCAGCUGCCUACCUGAAGCCGGACCUCAACUGUUGUACCUUUUCCUUCUGAUUAACCUGAGGUCAGUGGCCCUGUUCUCAUUUGUUAGAGGG